rnacentral:rRNA from 1 species
AAUGAACGUUGGCGGCGUGGAUUAGGCAUGCAAGUCGAGCGAGAAGCUUAGAAUUGAUCUUUCGAGUGAUUUUCUGAGUGGACAGCGGCGAAAGGGAGAGUAACGAGUAGAUACGUACCCAAGGGUGCGGGAUAGCGGGGAGAAAUCGCCGGUAAUACCGCAUAAUGUCUCCGGACCAAAGAUUUAUCGCCCUUGGAGCGGUCUGCUUCCUAUUAGUUAGUUGGUGGGGUAAUGGCCUACCAAGACUGUGAUGGGUAGCGGGUGUGAGAGCAUGGCCCGUCUCACUGGGACUGAGACACUGCCCAGACACCUACGGGUGGCUGCAGUCGAGAAUCUUUGUCAAUGGACGAAAGUCUGAACAAGCGACGCCGCGUGCGGGAUGAAGGCCCUCGGGUUGUAAACCGCUGUCAUAGGGGAGGAAAUUUUGACCGAUCCUAAGAGGAAGCACAGGCUAAAUUCG